rnacentral:rRNA from 1 species
GACGAACGCUGGCGGCGUGCUUAACACAUGCAAGUCGAACGGAAAGGCCCUGCUUUUGUGGGGUGCUCGAGUGGCGAACGGGUGAGUAACACGUGAGUAACCUGCCCUUGACUUUGGGAUAACUUCAGGAAACUGGGGCUAAUACCGGAUAGGAGCUCCUGCUGCAUGGUGGGGGGUGGAAAGUUUCGGCGGUUGGGGAUGGACUCGCGGCUUAUCAGCUUGUUGGUGGGGUAGUGGCUUACCAAGGCUUUGACGGGUAGCCGGCCUGAGAGGGUGACCGGCCACAUUGGGACUGAGAUACGGCCCAGACUCCUACGGGAGGCAGCAGUGGGGAAUAUUGCACAAUGGGCGGAAGCCUGGUGCAGCAACGCCGCGUGCGGGAUGACGGCCUUCGGGUUGUAAACCGCUUUCGCCUGUGACGAAGCGUGAGUGACGGUAAUGGGUAAAGAAGCACCGGCUAACUACGUG